AGUUUGAUCCUGGCUCAGGAUGAACGCUGGCGGCGUGCUUAACACAUGCAAGUCGAACGAGCCUUCGGGCUAGUGGCGGACGGGUGAGUAACGCGUGGGAAUCUGCCCUCAGGAGGGGGAUAACGGCCGGAAACGGCCGCUAAUACCCCAUAUGCCGAGAGGUGAAACGAAAUUCGCCUGAGGAUGAGCCCGCGUCUGAUUAGCUAGUUGGUGUGGUAAUGGCUCACCAAGGCUUCGAUCAGUAGCUGGUCUGAGAGGAUGAUCAGCCACACUGGGACUGAGACACGGCCCAGACUCCUACGGGAGGCAGCAGUGGGGAAUUUUCCGCAAUGGGCGCAAGCCUGACGGAGCAACGCCGCGUGAGGGACGAAGGCCUCUGGGCUGUAAACCUCUUUUCUCAAGGAAGAAGACAUGACGGUACUUGAGGAAUAAGCCACGGCUGAUUCCGUGCCAGCAGCCGCGGUAAUACGGGAGUGGCAAGCGUUAUCCGGAAUUAUUGGGCGUAAAGCGUCCGCAGGCGGCCCAGCAAGUCUGUUGUUAAAAAGUGGAGCUCAACUCCAUCCAGGCAAUGGAAACUGCUGGGCUAGAGUGUGGUAGGGGCAGAGGGAAUUCCCGGUGUAGCGGUGAAAUGCGUAGAUAUCGGGAAGAACACCAGUGGCGAAGGCGCUCUGCUGGGCCAUAACUGACGCUCAUGGACGAAAGCCAGGGGAGCGAAAGGGAUUAGAUACCCCUGUAGUCCUGGCCGUAAACGAUGAACACUAGGUGUCGGGGGAAUCGACCCCCUCGGUGUCGUAGCCAACGCGUUAAGUGUUCCGCCUGGGGAGUACGCACGCAAGUGUGAAACUCAAAGGAAUUGACGGGGGCCCGCACAAGCGGUGGAGUAUGUGGUUUAAUUCGAUGCAACGCGAAGAACCUUACCAGGGUUUGACAUCCUGCGAAUCCCUUGGAAACUUGGGAGUGCCUUCGGGAGCGCAGUGACAGGUGGUGCAUGGCUGUCGUCAGCUCGUGUCGUGAGAUGUUGGGUUAAGUCCCGCAACGAGCGCAACCCACGUCUUUAGUUGCCAGCAUUUAGUUGGGCACUCUAGAGAGACCGCCGGUGAUAAACCGGAGGAAGGUGUGGAUGACGUCAAGUCAUCAUGCCCCUUACAUCCUGGGCUACACACGUACUACAAUGCUACGGACAAAGGGCAGCAAACUCGCGAGAGCUAGCAAAUCCCAUAAACCGUGGCUCAGUUCAGAUCGUAGGCUGCAACUCGCCUACGUGAAGGAGGAAUCGCUAGUAAUCGCAGGUCAGCAUACUGCGGUGAAUACGUUCUCGGGCCUUGUACACACCGCCCGUCACACCAUGGAAGUUGGCCAUGCCCGAAGUCGUUACUCCAACCCGUAAGGGAGGAGGACGCCGGAGGUGGGGCUGAUGACUGGGGUGAAGUCGUAACAAGGUA
rnacentral:rRNA from 1 species